GUAAAGUGAAAUCAAGCACUCGAAGGGCACACUGGUAAUUAAAUAAGCCUUUUGAAAAAUGUAGAGUCGGUCAUCCCAUAUGAGCAAUGCGCCCCCGGCGCAUUUUAGUAGAGCUUUUCCCCCCAAAACCCUAUUAUGCUCUGAAACCCUAGCUCUCACGCGCAUCUCUAUAAAUACAAGCCAAUCAGUUCGAGCGUCACCGCCUCAUGUAAAUAUUGGACUACUAGGGCUUAUGAUCCGUUUCAUACUACGAUCUCGAUUCAAGAACAAGAGGCGUUCCAAGAACUUCUUUAAGAAUUUCCUCUCUUCAUUUAUGUUUCUUUCUCACAAAGCUCUUCACUUGGUUUGUUUUCUCAGUUGAAAUGUUUGAUCUUGGUUUUUUCUUGGUUUUUUUUCUUCUUUUUUUGUUUUUUUGUGCUUUGAUUUGAUCUGAUUUUAUGAGUUUGAGAAGAUGGUUAAGGACUGUGACGAUUCGUGUGAAAGGUCUCGUUCGUCGUAAGGGCGAGUAGCUCGCCUUGCCGACUAUUCUGAUAUAUCACCACCCAUAUUCUGAGUCCUAUCUACGAUCUACAAAAUUCUCUUUGCUUUUUUCCGGAUUUCAUUUUCCGCAUGUUUGCGUCUGUUUUUGGUGCUUUGAAUUGGCCAAUGAUUAUAAUUUUAUAUUAAGACAAGCAUAUGUCUGAAACAACUGUGUGGAACAUCUAAUCUUCUCUAUGAGGCCAAUUUGUAAAUUUUUUUCUUUUUCGAUCGAUCUGAUCUGUUUUCAUUGUAUAAGUGCUGAUGAUGAAACAAAGGAUACUUUGUAAUGUAUGAGAAAUCAUGAUUACAACUAUACCUCUACUGCCUUCCUUCUGAAGCUUCUUAUAAUCCUGCUUUUGUAAAAUAAUCAUGUUUUGUUUUGUGUCUGAUUGUUUUUAAAAUUGAAUCUGAUUGAUUUCGAAAUGAAUUUGGAUGGUUUGAACCCUAGAUGUGUUCAAACAUUAGGAAUGCACAAAAUGAAAUUGUAGUUCUUGAUUGAUUCCAUUUGAGGCAGCAAAACACCUCAAUGAUAUGGAUUUGGCUGGUUUAUUGAUUAUUAGUGUGAGGGAUCUCAAAUGAUGAACAGAAGCAUAGUUCAAAUGAUAAUCUUUGUGAUUAGAAAUUGAAUGUCUUUCGCUCCUAUCUGAUGAUCCUCAUAUUAUCUCUUCCUUGUUGGGUUGUAAUUCCUGUAUGCUUUUGAGUGAUUGUUUUUCAAUAUUCGAUUUCAAAUUUGGUAUUUUUUUUGAAUUGGAUACGAUACAAGUUUGUCAGGUUGUAGAAGGUUAGGGACUGUGACGAGUUGUGUGAAAGGUCUCGUUCGUCGUAAUGGCAAAUUUGCCUUGCCGACCAUCCUGAUAUAUCACCACCCAUAUUCCGAGUCCUGUCUAGAAAAAUAAAAUUUCGAAGUAAUCUCAAAUUUUUUUUUGUAUUGCCUAUGAUUAUGAAUUUUAUAUAUAGAGGCCAAGCAUACGUCUGAAACAUUUGGUGUUGACAAACUAAUCUUAUGAGGCCUAUUUAGUACUUCUGGUUUUUUCUUGGGUUUUUUUUUUCUUUUUCUUGUGAUUUUUACUAUGCUUGUCUUUUCUAUCCUAUUUGAUCUCAUGAUGUUCUCUGCGUCUGCACCAGUGCAGUUAGAAUCUGUUUGAUGACUUACGAAACUGGUGUGAGACGUUACAGAACUAAAGGAGGGCUCUUGACUUUCUUUAGGCAAUAAAAUCCAGAUUUCAGUAAUCUUUUGCUGGCAUUUUUCCUCUUCGUAUGCAUUUUACUAUUUUCUUUGACUUUCAACCAUCUUCUUGAUUUUCUUGAUUUCACAUAAGCAUGAGCAAACUUCAUGAUUCCAAACAAUGGAAUUCAUAGAAUCAACUCAUGCAAAAUCAAUCAAGGAAAUUGUAGUUCUGAAGCUGGGAAUUUGAGAUAGCAACUCUUUUGCGUUUUGCCAUUAUCAUUUGGAACCGAAUCAUAGCAGAUGCUGGUAUUGGGGUAACCAAUGAGCUCACUGUCUAUCUUGCUCAGGAUGGUGCCUCAUGAUUCUUAAAAGUCUUUAAAGACAAUAAGAAUUCGAGGGUUGAUAAUGUACUGGUCAACUGGGUUUUGGCUUAUUUCCACUGAGGGCGGCAGUGGAGAGAUUCCUGUUGAGUUUUGGGUAGCAAAUAUGAAUUAAAUUCAAAUUUAACCAAAAUCAGAAAAAAAAAAAUAUUUUAUAUGAAAGUUUGCGACUUCAAUAACAAAACUGAAAUGUAUUGAAAAGAAAGAAAUCAAGAAGAAUGAUUAUUAUGUUUGAUCGGAGGAUGAUGCCCAUACACAAGUUCUGUGAUUGGUUAGGCAUGAGAAGGCUCUUUAAAUACUUAAUCUAUGAGACGUCCUUUUUUGGGUGCAUAUUAGUUUUUAUUGAAUGCCUUGAUUUUUAGUGAAGAAUGAUUAUUAUGUUUGAUCGGAGGAUGAUGCCCAUACACAAGUUCUGUGAUUGGUUAGGCAUGAGAAGGCUCUUUAAAUACUUAAUCUAUGAGACGUCCUUUUUUGGGUGCAUAUUAAUUUUUAUUGAAUGCCUUAAUACUUUUAGUGUCAUCAGUUGGAGAUUGGAAGAAUAUAUUAUUAACAGAGCAGCCUAAGAUGUGGGGUAGUGACAUGAGGGUUAGAAGUAUUCGCUGAAGGGGUGUUGUUACUGUCGAAGAAUGGUAUUCUAUCAUCCCAUGGAAGAGGUCAUUUCAUCUUAGAUAUGGCACAAGGUACCUCAGACUAAAUAAUCUUACUGUUGAAGCGGCUCUCUCUUCUGUUAGUCUGAUGCUGUAAACCUUGGAGUUUUUUUUUGUUGUGGAAAUGAAGGCCAAAAGAAGGGGAAUGUGAGAGCGUCUUCGAGUCUCAUUACUUUGAUGGUGUAGUGGCAAUGAUAUCAACUUCAGAAGGGAUUAAUGAUGUGAUCCUCUCCUUUGUCUAUAAUGGUCACAUAGCAGGCACAUAGCUGCAGAAUGCCUAGUUUUCCAUAAGGAUGGGGUGGUUGUUUGACUGGGAACGACAAUGUAAGAAGGAAAUUCCCUCAGUCAUUUUUUUUUAGCUCCGCGAGGUAAUGGUUACCUGAAAAGUGGCUUAUGUCCUAGCUACUGAUUGCACAGCAAUACAAUGGAGUUAAACUUUUGUGACUUGUUUGAAGUUUGGCUGCUAUGUGUAUAUAAGUGGGUCCACUGUCUGGCGUCCUUAUUAUUUUGACUAGACCGGGUUCUGGAGCUCCAUUGGUAUAUCCUCUUCAUCUCACUUACUCCUUCAUCUUUAUACCCGUUAAUCCAUUUCUUCCCCUACCCGUUCUAUCAGUGAUAUCCACAUUUUUCAAUACCUAUUAUACCCAUUUCACUCACCCAUCCAUCACACCCGUUGCCAUAGCUAGCCCCAUCACCCAACCCACUUCCUUUAUCACCUUCCAUUACCCGUUGUACCAUUCUUUCAUCACCCACUUGUUUUUUAUCUUCUCAUGUACAUGGAGCUUUAUACUCAUGGUCAUUUCCACCUUUCCAUCCCUUACAUACUUCAUGCCCAUUCAUCAUAUUCCUUUCUAGCAGCCCCACCUUUCUUUCUCUAUACCACAUACCCUUCAUGCACACUGUUUUCUCACUAACCUACCCAUCCCACUGAUUAUAUCCCAUAUCCCCCACACCCCCAUGCAUGACCACCUACCGGUGAAAGCAUCCAAGGCCGACAAGUAGAUCCCCCAUAAUUAGAAGCAGGGCCAGUCUCUGGAUGAAUACGUUCAGAUUCCGAUAGUUCCGAUAGUUGCCACAGUGAAGAAAUAUGGUCAAACAGAACAUGAAGACAGCACCGCAUCCUCACAAGUGCACUAACCCUGUUGAUUGGUAUCCUUGGGGUGAAGAAGCUUUCUCUUAAGCAUGCAAAAGAGACGCGCCAAUAUUCUUAUCAAAUGGAUACAACACCUGCCAUCGGUGUCGUGUGAAAGAGGUGGAGUCUUUUGAGUAUGAAGGGGUUGCAAAAUUGCUCAAUGAUUGGUUUGUUAGCAUCAAGGUGGAUCAACUUUUUGAGAAGCCGUCACUGAACUUCCCAGAAUUUGGUAUCGGAAAAGCAGAGGGUCUUCCUUUCACAACUCCAUUGGCGAGGGAGUUCGCAAGAGAUCCCAAUCUCCACCUUGUGCACUUCCCUGCUCUUACUCCUCCUGUAAUACUUCCUGACUUGGAUCCAUGCAAACCCUCCAUACCUACAUAUCCUACCCUACAUGCAGGGUCGUCCUCCAUAAUACCCGUGUAUAACCCAUUUCCAUACCAUAUAUGCCCAACAAUUCUUUCUAAACCUUUUAAACCCAUUCCAUGCUCACCACCUCAUCCUUCCUAACCUUCCAUGCAAAUCACCAUUUCUUUAAUACCCUUUAACCUACUUCAUCCUUCCUCCCUCACCCAUCCUAUCAUCCAUCAAAUUCAUCGUUUCACACUCACUGAACCCCUUGUAUCCAUUUCUCUCGCCACUUUCUAUCUCCACCCCACCAUUCGCUCAUCACUCACUUAUUUUCCAUCCUCCCACAUGCAUGAAAUUUACGCGCAUGACCCUCUAGCAUCCUUCCAAAGCUUUCCUUUGAAACUCAUUUUCUACUGAACUGAAGUCCUAAACCAAUUCCAGAUAAAGAAGUCCUCAUCUGAAGUGUCUGAGGUUCCAAUUUCUAUGGUGAAAAAGAGUAAGUCUGAUGCUAUAUGCCUCGACGAGGUUGAUCACACCAUGUACGUCUCCAUCUGUAGUGUUGUUAACCCGCUUACACAACUCUACACGCAGGCCAUGAAUCAACAACGCUUGUUUUCCCAAGCCUGUGAGCGUCAUGCGCUGGAGGGGAAGGAGACUGGUCUCUACCAAACCCACUAUUAACUCCCUUUCAGAAGGAAAAACCCACGUUGGAUCUCCCAAAAAUACAACAAACCCUUGAUGGAUUUUGUGGGUUUGAGCUCAUUUGUUAGAUCUAUGAGUCUUUUUCUUGUCGUGUGAACUUGACAGAAAUGGGGUCCAGUUCCAGCGAACCCCAUUCAGUUUCUUCAACUUCAUCUUCAACCGUACAUAGAGUUCACAGGGUUUUCCACCCAUCACACCUCAGGCCUCCAUCUGGAUCUCAUCGCAGUGACAGUGACAAUGACAGUGAUGACCACCCGGUUUCUGAUCAUCAGAACAAAGAAAAUGGCUGCAAUGGUCCGUGCACAGAUCAGGGUGAAACAGAGUCUGAUCAAUUGAAAAGUGGGUGUUUCAGAAAGGUUAAAGUUGAACAACCUGAUGAAAUGCCCUCCAUAUCUUCUAAUGUUGGUCUCCAGGAAUGGGACCAAGCGAAUUUCACUCGUAUUCCCUCCAGAGCAGGUGGCAGCUCCACCCGAGCUUCAUCGACUCAAUCCUUGAACCCUUCUAGUUGAUUCCUCUCUCGCUUUAAUUUAAUUCCUGGUAACAUAAGUUUCAGGCUAAGCAGAGCAAGCAGUUUAGGUUCAUUUCGAGCUUAACCUGUUUCUUCCACAAGUAUUACUUCGAACAGUGAAGAAAAGUUGCAUCCACGCAUUGGACCUUCCAAUAGCUUGGUUAAUAGAAAUGGGUCUCAACCCAACACCUAUAUCUGCCCCAUCUACAUGGGUCUGCCCGACACAUUGGCGGUUUUGGAUUCAAGGGUCAUUGAGUUCGCAGUGGAAAUGGUACCAAAUAUCUCAGUUUGACAUUCCAAUCGCUAGCGGUGAAUAGUUCCAGUUGAGUUUAGUGGUGGGCACAGGAGGUUUAACAUUACUAGGGUCCAUAUGGAAGAGGAUGCUGGGAAGCUGCUUCAUUUUGGAAAUGAGAGUUACUCACAGGUUGAUCUGAAUAAAGUUGGAGUGCCUUUGCAUGAAAUUGUUUCUAAACCUAAAUGUGAAGAAGCUCAGAAUAUGGUCAUAUUGCCUAGUUACGCGCCUCUUCCAUUUCUGUCUGUGGAGUUGCUAGAGAAGGUAAGGUUGGUAGUUGAUGCCAUCUUAAUGACUGAAGGUACUUGAGAGAAAAGAGCCACUUACAUUGUGGACAACUAAUAAGAAGGAAAUUGGUGCUUAUGGCAUGAGCUUGCAGCAGAUUGACAAUGAUGUCAUUAUUCCUCGAUCAGGGUGGAAAUACGCCAAGUGUGAUAAAACAGAGAAUCUUUGGUUAAAUUUGACUAAUGGAAUGAUCCCUUAUAGGAGGUUGAGUGGAAACGAGCUGCCUUCUGUUUAAAAAGACGAUUAUCAGAAUUAUAGAAAGAAGAAAAUGACAGCUGCAAUCACCAACUUUGCAGUGAAGUAUCAGUUGCACCUCAGGUCCUCGUGCAUGACUUCACUUUUGGCCCACGUGCCAUUUCCCAUCUCACUAUUUGUAAUUUUGAAAAUAUUUUUUCCAAAUCCCAUUCUUCAAAUAAUUUUCCAAAUUUUAGUUUUUUUUUUAAAUAAUUCUAACUCUUCCAUUUUUCAUCCUUAGCAUUUUUUUAGGUUCCAAAAUCUCAUUUUCAAUAAAAUUGGUUGUCAUUUUCUCUUCGGCAAGCCUUUUUCAUUUUUCCUUCUGUUUUUUAAAGUGUUUUAAAAUAAAUAAGGAUUAAAUUUCGUAAUUCCAAAUAAUAGAGUUAUUGGAAUUGAUUCUUGCAAAAUAAAAUGGGCUUGGUGGGGGCCCAACAUCAAAGAAUUUUAUUUGAAAUAAAAAUGAACUCGAGUGAAGUGCUAUGUGCGCCAUUGAUGAUUUCGUAUUUGGUUUAGUGGCAUGUGAGUCAUGUUUUAUGUUCAUUUAUUAUACACUAAUCUCAUUUCUUGAUAGCACAUUGUGGCUCGUUGUCAAGGUAUGCCCCCACUCUUACUCUAGCCAUUCUUUAUUGAGUGUUUUGAUUCUUACAUGUGCAUGAUCAUGUCGGUAUUCAUUGAUUUUCUUACCAAUUGUCAUGAUUGUUUUAUUUUAUCAAUAGAAACCUGUUUUUAGGGACUUAGAGGGGUGAUACGGUCUUUACCGUACCUUCCCGAUAAGUAACCUAACCCUCGAACCCGAUCUAGUUUUUCAUAGACCACCUUUUCCAAAAUAAGGAGUCACACUUAGGGUUUUCUUUCUUAUUUUGUUUACCCUUUAAAAAUAAAACAAAAAUAAGUGGCGACUUCAAGUCAUUUUCUUAAUAAAUAAAAUCAUUUUUCAAAUAAAAAGCAAGCUCGUCAUCGAAUGGAAACGCAUGAGCAAAAAUGCGCGGUCCACACAAUCACACAUGAUAAGUGAUUUAAUAAUAAUUAAUGCUUUUAAGUUAAAACAUGUGAGCAAUUUUGUUAGCAACUGAAAAUUUUAUUCUUAUACAACAAUUGUUUAUAGAUGACUAUACAGAGAUUCAUUCCUUUGGAGUACAUUUUAUUAUUCCCAACUAUGAUAGAACUCAACAGAGAAAUGAAUUUCUCAUUACCCAAAAUAAAUGAUUACAGCAAGGUAUAUAAAUACCCUUCUUAGUUAGCUAACUGACUCUGUUUUAUUCUAACAAAAACAACCAACUAAUUUUGUUUUAUUCUAACUAAGUUAUACACGUGGACAACAACCAUUAACCACUAUUCCUAACAUCUCCCUUCAAACUCAAAGUUGUAAGGUCUUCCACUUUAAGUUUGUUCCUCAUUUGAUUAAACUGUCCAUUGGAGAUUGCUUUAGUUAGAACAUCUGUCACUUGUUCAUUUGCUGGUACAUGUCUUAUAUCCAUGUAUUUCUUCAAAACUUUUUCCCUUACAAAAUAAAGAUCCAAUUCUAUGUGCUUUGUUCGAGCAUGAAGAAUGGGAUUGGCAGAUAACAACAUUGUGCUGAGAUUAUCACACCAUAGAACCGGUAUUCUAGGUGUCUUGCACUGCAAUUCAAAUAGUAAGGAUUGAAUCCAGGUUAUUUCAGCAACUAGUUCAACCAAACUUCUAUAUUCUACCUCUAUGCUGGAACGGAAAAUUGUUUGUUGUUUUCUGGAAUGCCAAGACACAAUAUUAUUGCCAAAUAAGACACAGUGACCUAAAACCGAUCGUCUAUCAUCAGGGUUUGAACCCAAAUCAGCAUUAGAAAACCCAAUUAAACUCAACUCAACAACUUUAUUUAAAUGAAUGCCAUAAUCCAUGGUUGCUCUUAAGUACCUUAGAAUACGUUUUACAGUCUUCCAUUGCUCAUCUGUAGGCCUUUGCAUAAAUUGACAAACUUUAUUGACACUAUAUGCCAAUUCAGGUCUAGUUACGGUAACAUAUUGUAAAGUUCCUACUGUACUUCUGUAUAGCUGAGCAUUUUCAAUUGGAAUUCCAUCUUGGGAACUAAUCUUUAAGCCACUAGUCAUGGGAGUGGGAAGACCCUUGGCCUGCAACAUUUUAGUUUUCACCAAAAGAUCCCUUAUAUACUUCUGUUGAGAGAGAUGAAACCCAUUCACUAUAUGAGUAAUCUGAAUGCCCAGAAAAUAGGUUAUUUCUCCUAGAUCUUUCAAAGAGAACUCAGCAUCCAACUGUUUAAUAAGAGUAGUUACUACCUCUGCAUUGCUUCCAAUUACCAAAAUAUCAUCUACAUAGACAAGAAUGUAGGUGGUCUGAGUUGAUGUAAUCCUGAAAAAGAGAGAUUGAUUUGCCUUGGAAGAGACAAAUCCAAAUUGCAGAAGUAUUUUGUGAAGUCUCUCAAACCAUGUUCGUGGUGCCUGUUUGAGUCGAUGGAGAGCUUUAUACAAUCUACAAACAUAUUCAGGGUGUUUCUCAUCCACAAAGCCUUGAGGUUGUGACAUAAACACUUCUUUUUGUAAAAUACCAUUCAAAAAGACAUUAUUUAUAUCCAAUUGCCUAACAUUCCAACCUCUAGAUAAGGGAAUGGUGAGUACAAUCUUGAUAGUUGUUGGUUUCACAACUGGGCUAAAAGUCUCAUUAAAAUCAAAUCUAGCUUGUUGAUGGAAACCCUUGGCUACUAACCUAGUUUUAUAUUUUUCGACACUAUCAUUAGGAUUUUCUUUGACCGUAUAGACCCAUCUACAACCAAUAGGUAUUCUUCCUUCAGGCAAGGGUACUAAAGACCAAGUGUUGUUUCUUUGCAAAGCUUCAAACUCAAAUAUCAUGGCUUGUUUCCACUCAUCCUUUUGUAAAGCCAACUCAACUGUCUCUGGUUCCUUUACUGUUGCAAUAUACACUUUAGGUUUAGCAAUGCCAUUUUUGCUUCUUGUUGUCAUGACAUGAGUGUUCCCUUGAACUCUUGGUUGACCUAUCAUUCUAUUCAAAUUAGUAUUACUAGAAGAAACAAUAUCCUACACAACAACAUCAGUUACUGGAGAAAUAGAAUGUACAUUAGGAACAUAGGUAAAUUAACCUCAUUGAUUGGCUUGUCAAUGGGGACUAUGAGAAUAGGAUGAGAAUGAGUUUGAGAGGGGACUGUGAGAAUAGGUGGACUAGCAGAUGGGGUAGAAUCAGACAAUGAAAAUGAAUUAUGGAUAGAAUAGGAAGAUUGAUCAGUUUGAGCAAAUGGAAAUGUUGUUUCAUCAAAUAUAACAUCUCUAAAAAUAUACAGCUUUCCAUUUGAAUCCAAGCACUUAUAUCCCUUGUGGUUUAAGCUGUAUCCCAUAAAAGUGCAAACAUUGCUCCUAAAUUGCAAUUUAUGUUUGUUAAAAAAGACGAGUGUUAGGAUAGCAUGCACAACCAAACACUUUUAGAAAAGAAUAGUUGGGUUUGGUUUUGAAGAGAAGUUCUAAUGGACAUUUUUGUUUCAGCAUAGGAGUUGGAAGUCUGUUAUGAGAAACACAGCAGUUUUGAAAGCUUCAUCUCAAUAUUUGAGAGGAAUUGAAGAUUUAGCUAACAAGGCUAAACCAUUUUCAACGAUGUGGCGAUGUUUUCUUUCGGCCACUCCAUUUUGUUCUUGAGUAUGAGGGCAAGACAUUGUAUUAAUGAUACCAUGUUGAGUAAGGAAUGAUUGAAAAGAUCUAAAUUCACCACCCCAAUCAAAUUGAAAAGCUUUUAUUUUGGAGUCAAGUUGAAGUUCAAUUUGAGUUUUGAAAUUGAUAAAGGUUUGGAUGACAUCAGAUUUAUUUUUAAGAAGAUAAAACCAGGUGAAUUUAGAAUAGGCAUCCACAAAAUGAACAUAGUAUCUAUAACCACUACUUGAAGGGAUAGGAGCUGGACCCCAUAAAUCAGAAUGAAUCAAUUGUAAAGGAGCGGUAUAAACUAUUUCAGAUCUGGAAAAUGGAAAUUUAUGAAUUUUGCGUAAACAACAUGAUGAACAAAAUGAAAGUGUCAUUUUAUUGAUAUUAGGGACAUUACACUGUGAAAGAAUUGUUUUUACAACUUGAAUAGAAUGAUAACCUAAUCUGGCAUGCCAAAGAUCAAAUACAUUUGGCUUUAUUGAAUCACAAGGAUUUGAAACAGUACAGGUUUGAACAUUGCAGCUUUUUACAACAGGGGAUGAUUGACAAAUGUUGAAGGCAACUUCUAGAUGAGCAAGACACAAAUUUGAUGAAUCAAACGAGUAUAGACCAUCUUUAACUUUCUCGGUAAGAAGAACAGCUUGAGAAUCCUGAUCCUUAACAAAGCAAACAUCAUAAUGGAAUUCAAAGAAGACAUUAUUGUUUUUUGCAAAUCUAGAAACACUAAGAAGAUUCUUUGCAAUAGAAGGAACCAAAAACAUAUGAUUUAAGGAGAACACUUUAGGAGUAAGAGAGAAAAGUGAAGAAGAAUGACCAAUUCGUGAAAUUGACAAACCUGAACCAUCACCAAUGUGUACUUUGUCUUAACCAGUAAAUUCAGUGUUGUGCUAAAGAUUAUUAGCAUUUGGUGUGACAUGAUUUGAAGCACCAAAAUCAGGGUACCAAGAGUUAUCCUUGAACACCUCAGGUUUUGUAAACAAAGUUGAAGAAUGAGGAGAGGCUUGGCUGAAAUAAGCACGAGGACCACCACUAUUUUGAGAAGAGGAGGUUGGACUAACAAAACUUGGAUCAAACCUGUAGUAACACCUCUCAACUUCAUGUCCAAACCUUCGACAAAGCUGGCACUUAGGUUUGCUAGUAUUAUUCCAGUUGUUAUUCCAGCUAGAUUUGCCACCAUUUCCUCUGCCUCCAUUAAAAUUUCUUCAUCUACCAAAGUUUCCAGCAUUGAAACGACCUCCAUUACCUUGACCAAUACCUCGACCUCUUCCUGGACCAAAGUUGGUAGAGAAAUUGCUUCUACCACAACCUCUAAAACCAUUAUUAGUAGAAGACGAGGCAAAAUUGGCACUUGGUGCAGAAUCAAGAGAUUUAGCAUUCUUUUCAAUUCUAGCUUCUUGUGCCAUAAUCAAAGACUCAACUUCUUCUACCGUAUAGGAUUCAGAUCUAGUAAGGAUGGAGGUGAUGAAAGCAUCAUACUCAUCAGUGAGGUUAACUAGAAUAGCAUCAAUAUGGUCCUUAUCUGUAAGUAUUUGACCAACCGAGGCUAAAGAAUCAACACAGCUCUUGAUUUUGGACAGAUAUUCAACAACAUUCAAAGAUCCCUUUUUCGUAGUCUUAAGCUGAUCCUUAAACUGUCUGAUUUUAGCCCUGGUUUGAGAUGCAAAAUAUUGCUAUAAUUUCACCCAAACUUGAAAAGAGGUUUCAGAUCCAACUAACCCUGGAAGAACUUUCUCAAAGAUCGACGAGAGCAUCCAUGAAAGAAGCAAUUGGUUUUGUUGUUCCCACUCAACAAAGGCUUUGUUAACAUUUUUGGCUUGUGCAUCUUCUUUCAGUAGAAAACGUGGAGGAAUUGCAGACUCAAAGAAGACAAAUCUUUGUAAUCCAUAACCUUUGAUUGCAAAGACCACUUGUUGUUUCCAGAUGAGAAAAUUGUUGUUAUCAAGUUUCACAAAAAAAGAAUGUGUGAAACUCACAGGUAAAAAUCUUGACUGUUCUUGAGCUUCCAUUGAUGAAUCUUGAGCAAUGGUUUGAAUCAGAGCCUCCAUUGAAAGCAUUUAUGGAUCAAGACUCCAGAUUUUAGGGUAAAUGAUGCCUUUUUAGUCUCUGAAAUUUUCAGCAAACAUAAUCAAGACGGCCCUAGCUUUGAACAGGUUCUAGUUUCGAAUCUAAAACGCCGAUUUGCCAGAAAUUGUUGGUAAGGGAAGUUGUGGUAUGAAAACUCCAGGAAGCUUGAUGUCGAUGGAGAAAACUUGGCUCUGAUACCAUAUGAGAGAACUCAACAGAGAAAGGAAUUUCUCAUUACCCAAAAUGAAUGAUUACAACAAUGUAUAUAAAUACCCUUCUUAGUCAGCUAACUGACUCUGUUUUAUUCUAACAAAAACAACCAACUAAUUCUGUUUUAUUCUAACUAAGCUAUACACGUGGACAACAACCAUUAACCACUAUUCCUAACACCAACUUUCAUCCUUUUUCAUUUCACAAUCAAAAUACAAUAUCACUAAAAAAAUUUCAUAAGCAAAACACACCCAGAAGUAAAUCUUUCAUUCUUCCAAUCAAGUAUCAAGGUUUCUCCUUCUCCUAAACACCUUUAGUUUUAUCUAGAAAAUGUGGUUAUAAGAGAAUGAACCACUUAGCCUUGUUAAGCAAAAAUGUGCUUCUUGGUAGGUAUACACAGUUGAUACAUGGUAAUUCAAUUCAUUAAAAACAUCAUUCACAAUACAAUCAUCUUAAGUUACAUUAUUCAUUCCAACUUAUCAUAUACUUGUUUCAUUCCCCAGUUGUGCUUUUAAGAUAGCUCGUAUGUAUAUUUUAGGGAGUUCAGCCCGAGAUAUACGUCUAUGUCUUGUCUCCUAUUAAUCAUGACAAUAAAGAUCUUUGAGUCUUUCAUCUUAAGAUAUUGUACCAUGUGUCGGGCACAUUAAUGUUUAAAUUAUAAUAUCAUUUCGUGUUGUUCAAUGUCUUAUGUAUCAGAAUCCUUGGAUGAUCCUAAAUUCUUAUCGCCAAUGGUUGAAACCAUUCUCAUCCUAAUAUAUUUUUUACUUCAACCAAAAUCCCAUUGCCAUGUUAAUCCAAUCUCAUUUGAAGAAGGCUGUCAAGCUUGAGUUACCAAUUUGUCCUCCUAUCUUUUAAUUUCUUUAAAUUUGUGUUUGAUUAAAAAAAAGGGAAAAUAUUUUUUAAAUAUAAAAAUUUUAAAUAUUUUAUAUUUAUGAUGUUCAUAUUCCUUUUUUAUUUUGAGUUGUAUUAUAUCAUUUAAAUGAUUUUAUUUCUUUUUUUUGUUUUCAAUUUUUCAAAAAACUAUUUUUACUUAUUAAAGAAAAUUUUAUAAAUAUCAGAGUGCUGUUCUCAAUUUUUUCUAUUUUCUUUACUCAGUUUUCUAAAAAAGGAGGAUGAAAAGACAGUGUCCAAACAGGGUUUUAGAUUUAUUUCUAUUUUUCUUUUUUUGAAAAUUACGUGAGGACCAUGUUCUACCUAUUUUGUCCCGUGAAGCCAGAAUGGCGAAUUAAGGAUAUAAUGGUAAUUUAAGAAUAACAGAAUUGGAGAUCCCAAUCUUAACCGAACUGGCGGUAAAGUUGGCAAGGCAGAUGCGAGCUAAACGACACCGUUCAAAACACCCCCCACCCCACCCGCCAAAGUUCCCGGCCGUUUGGAAGAAACUAACGACACAUGUUUCCGAGCCUACAACCAGGGUUCCUUACCGAACCUACGGUUUCUGCUAUCUCUAUCUCAGUGGCGAACAACCAACCACUCUCCACUCUCUGCUUUUGUUUUUCCUUCCCUUUUCAUCUUUCUUUCUCUCGCUUUGCUCGCUUCCGUUCCCAAACACCAGCCUGUCUCUUUUUUUUUUUUUCUGCUUCUCGGUUUCAGAUUUCAGAAUCGUCUCAAACACUUUUUUCUUUU
rnacentral:lncRNA from 1 species